rnacentral:tRNA from 1 species
GCCGGGGUGGCGGAACGGUAGACGCGGCGGCCUCAAAAGCCGCUGUCCGCAAGGACAUGCGGGUUCGAUUCCCGCCCCCGGUA